rnacentral:rRNA from 1 species
AUACGGGAGGCAGCAGUGGGGAAUAUUGGACAAUGGGCGCAAGCCUGAUCCAGCCAUGCCGCGUGUGUGAAGAAGGCCUUCGGGUUGUAAAGCACUUUUGUCCGGAAAGAAAAGCUUCGGGUUAAUACCCCGGGGUCCUGACGGUACCGGAAGAAUAAGCACCGGCUAACUUCGUGCCAGCAGCCGCGGUAAUACGAAGGGUGCAAGCGUUACUCGGAAUUACUGGGCGUAAAGCGUGCGUAGGUGGUUUGUUAAGUCUGAUGUGAAAGCCCUGGGCUCAACCUGGGAAUUGCAUUGGAUACUGGCAAGCUAGAGUGCGGUAGAGGAUGGCGGAAUUCCCGGUGUAGCAGUGAAAUGCGUAGAGAUCGGGAGGAACAUCUGUGGCGAAGGCGGCCAUCUGGACCAGCACUGACACUGAGGCACGAAAGCGUGGGGAGCAAACAGGAUUAGAUACCCGUGUAGUCCG